rnacentral:rRNA from 1 species
UUUCCGGUUGAUCCUGCCGGACCUGACUGCUAUCGGAUUGAUACUAAGCCAUGCGAGUCUUUGUAGUAAUACAAGGCAGACGGCUCAGUAACACGUAGUCAACCUACCCUAUGGACAAGAAUAAUCUCGGGAAACUGGGCAUAAUUCUUGAUAGAUCAUAAUGCCUGGAAUGGUUUAUGGUUAAAAUGAUUCGUCGCCAUAGGAUGGGACUGCGGCCUAUCAGCUUGUUGGUGAGGUAAUGGCCCACCAAGGCGAUUACAGGUACGGGCUCUGAGAGGAGAAGCCCGGAGAUGGGUACUGAGACACGGACCCAGGCCCUAUGGGGCGCAGCAGGCGAGAAAACUUUGCAAUGUGCGAAAGCACGACAAGGUUAAUCCGAGUGAUUUCUGCUAAAGAAAUCUUUUGCCAGUCAUAAAACCACUGGUGAAUAAGGGGUGGGCAAGUUCUGGUGUCAGCCGCCGCGGUAAAACCAGCACCUCAAGUGGUCAGGAUGAUUAUUGGGCCUAAAGCAUCCGUAGCCGGCUUUGUAAGUUUUCGGUUAAAUCCAUGUGCUCAACGCAUGGGCUGCCGAAAAUACUGCAUGGCUAGGGAGUGGGAGAGGUAGACGGUACUCAGUAGGAAGGGGUAAAAUCCUUUGAUCUAUUGAUGACCACCUGUGGCGAAGGCGGUCUACCAGAACACGUUCGACGGUGAGGGAUGAAAGCUGGGGGAGCAAACCGGAUUAGAUACCCGGGUAGUCCCAGCUGUAAACGAUGCAGACUCGAUGAUGCAUUGGCAUAAUAGCCAGUGCAGUGUCGCAGGGAAGCCGUUAAGUCUGCCGCCUGGGAAGUACGUACGCAAGUAUGAAACUUAAAGGAAUUGGCGGGGGAGCACCACAAGGGGUGAAGCCUGCGGUUCAAUUGGAUUCAACGCCGGAA